UACGUAGGGGGGCAAGCGUUGUCCGGAUUUAUUGGGCGUAAAAGGCUUGUAGGUGGCCACGCCAAGUCGGAUGUGAAAUCUCCCGGCUCAACUGGGAGGGGGUCAUUCGAUACUGGCGGGCUCGAGGCCGGUAGGGGGAAGUGGAAUUCCCCGGUGUAGUGGUGGAAUGCGUAGAUAUCAGGAGGAACACCGGUGGCGAAGGCGGUUCUC
rnacentral:rRNA from 1 species